GCCAGCAGCCAUAUCACCCUGCAACUCACAACUGGUAACCCACUGAAGCUAAGCAGGUGAGCCCGUGAGCCUGGUCAGUACCUGGAUGGGAGACCUCCUGGGAAAAACUAAGGUUGCUGCUGGAA
rfam:Lepisosteus oculatus linkage group LG4, whole genome shotgun sequence.